rnacentral:lncRNA from 10 species
UUUUUGGGCUCCUAGGUGUUGCGCACAACCAGCGACUGCUCCAGCUCCUGCCUGCGCUGCUGGAUCUUUAGAGGAAGUGAGAACAGGAGCAGGUGUCAGUGUUCUGUACUCCCUGAGUCUCCCUCUUCACCUUGAGGUCCCGGCUCUGGGAGCGGAGCAGGUCUUGGACAUAGCCUUUGGGGUCUCUGGAGAAGCUUAGCAUGAAGUCCCUCUGGAUCUUGAGCUGGUUUAUGGACUCAAUCGUCUCAUGGAUCUGCAGGUAGAAAGAUAGAUGCUUUCCACCUGGCUUUGGUGAUGUGGGAGACGAGGGGAAAGGAAGCGGGUGGGAAGGGGAGGGAGAGGGGGUUUCUUCUGUGAAGGACAACCCCUCAGAGCCCCUGAUUUCUCUGAAGUCCCAGGGGAGGAGGGGAUGGGCAGAACUAAACUUGGAAUGAGGUUCAGCUCCAAGCAGCAUGGACGGGCCAUGUGUGUCCCAUUGGCCCAGAGUCUGGUCUCUUUUUUUUUUUUUUUUUUAAUUUAACCCAGACUGCUCAUCUGCAACCACACCCUGGUCUCAGAAAAGUCUCCUCUAUCAUCUCUGGGUUAAUGUCCCACUCCAGCUCUGGGCUUGGGCCCCACCUUACUGUCCAGAGCACUGAUCUCCUGCUGGUUGGCCGUGGAUAGGAGGAAGCUGCUCAUCUGCCCCUUUAAUGGCUCCUCCACCUCCACGUCAAUGUCAUAGCACGCCG